UUACAGUGUGGUUUGGGUGGCUGUCUGU
rnacentral:piRNA from 1 species